GGGGAAGAAGAGAGAGAGGAAGGGAGAAGAAGAGAGAAGAAGGAAGAGGGCGCCGCCGCAGUGGCCGGUGGCGCAGUGGCCUCUGAAGGUGGCGAGGUCAUGUAAUGAACAGUAUAGAUUAAUGGAGAGAAGAUGAAUCAUCUGAUUUUUCGAUCCAUUUUUGAUACGAUGAGUGGGAGGAGAAUAUGAAGAAGAGUUGAUCCAUUUCUGGGCUACAUCGGAAUUGAUUUUAAGAAAGAAAAAAAAA